GAUGAAGAACGUAGCGAAAUGCGAUACGUAAUGUGAAUUGCAGAAUCCAGUGAAUCAUCGAAUCUUUGAACGCAUAUUGCGCUCUCUGGUAUUCCGGAGAGCAUGCUUGUUUGAGUAUCAGUAAACACCUCAACUUCCAUAUCUUUUUUGAAAUGGGAGUUGGACUUGAGUGAUCCCAACGCUUUUCCUCACCGAAAAGUGGCGGGUUACUUGAAAUGCAGGUGCAGCUGGACUUUUCUCUGAGCUAUAAGCAUAUCUAUUUAGUCUGCCUAAAAAACAGAUUAUUACCUUUGCUGCAGCUAACAUAAAGGAGAUUAGUUCUUGUGCUGACUGAUGCAGGAUUCACAAAGACGGCUUCGGCCGACUUUGUAAACUCGAUCUCAAAUCAAGUAAGACUACCCGCUGAACUUAAGCAUAUCAAUAAGCGGAGGA
rnacentral:misc_RNA from 1 species